AAAGGAACCAGCUCUAGUCCCUUUGGAGGCUGAGAGACUCGUCUUUUCAAACUUUUCAUAGUCAUAACAAUUAUCUCAAUUCUGGGUUAAGUAAAAUUAUAAAACCAUAAAAAAUCAUUUUGGAGUCACCGAGGCCUUGACCCGCGGUGUCAGCAGUACGCACAGAGCGCCCGGCGGGGCCCUAACCCAGGGCUGGGCCUGGAACGCAGGUGCUGCCGUGACUGGGCAGUGAGCAGGCCGCGGCCUUGGCUGCGAGGCCUUAAACCGGCCGCCCGCCGCGCCCUGCAUGCUGGUUGGGCUGCAGGCAGGGUAGGAGCCUAUUCCGGGCUGCAAUGAUGGACGCCUUAGAAGAAGACAGCUUUGUGCUGUCUUUCUCCUCCACCUCUGAUGAAUUUGCUGUUGUGGUUGGAUAUUUAGAGGACAUUAGCAUGGAUAACGAGUUCCAGUUAUUACAGAGAAAUUUCAUGGACAAGUACUACCUCGAGUUUGAAGACAUGGAAGAGAAUAAACUCACCUACACACCUAUUUUUAAUGAAUACAUUUUUUUGGUAGAAAAAUAUAUUGAAGAGCAGCUGCUGGAGCAGAUUCCUGGAUUCAACAUGGCAGCUUUCACCACCACAUUACAGCACCAUAAAAGUGAAGCAGCUGGUGACAUAUUCGACAUGCUGCUACCUUCACAGUCUCGGACUACAGAGCAGAAAACGAAGGCCGAGGACUAGACCUAAGCAGUGGCUUAGUGGUCACUUCGUUGUGUCAAUCAUCUUCUGUGCCAGCUUCCCAGAAUAAUCUGCAGCACUGGGUCCUCCCUCCAGCCCAUGAAUUGGAACAUUCUGGAUGUCACCAGCCCAACAGGCUCAGCUCUUGAUGACAGAAUACAUCUUGGAAAAAGACUGACUCUGUUUUGUAAUUCUUCAUUUAUGUUAAAUAUUGACAGGUCAAAACCAAAAUGACCUAACCCUCCCAGACCUAUUGCUCCUGAAACACCUUCUCGUAUUCAUUAACCGUAGUACUCCUCCCCUCCUCAAGGAGACACUUCUCUCAGGAGCUUCUGAGUCAGACGCCUCUGGAGCGAGCCCAUGUCCAGCACUCCACCUGGGGGGUCCUUCCCCGACCACACAUGCUGGUGUGGACGUGUGGACGAACGCACCGCCACCCUCUGUCCCAGCAGGCUCUAUGUGAAACUUUGUGCAUGUGCAUCUCUCUCUCUUUCUCACAGGGGUCACAGUUUCGGUACUUCAGCCUCAAUGGGGUUCCUGGUGUCUAUCUAGGGUGUUACUCAAGCCCAGCUUGAGAUUCCAGAAUCUCCUGUGAUCACAGCUUGUCACGGCUGUAGGAAUCAACAGAAAGAGACGUCCUCUACAUAAAAGCUCCACGUGAAAAGCCACUCCUAGUCUUAACAUUUGCAGUCCUUGUGUCACUGUCUUCUGGUCCUGAUGUAGUCCCACUGUUUCUACUAGAAGUCUCUUUUAAGCAUUAUUUUAAAAAUAUAUAUUUUUAUAGAUGAAUACUCAGGCUAAUCUAGUGGAUAUGAUCUUGGGAUUUCCAUGAUUAUCCACUUAAAGAUCAAAGUAUUAUAUGCCGUGUGCUUUUUAGGUGUUAAUGCUGUGAAGGCAAAAAUGCUUUCUACAUUGGCGUUCGUUCCUAUUUGACUGGGCACCUAUGAAUGUAUGCUGUGUGCUAGAAAUAGACUAAAACAUUCUUACAGCAUGUUAGUGAGUUUGUGUGUUUGCUGAAGAUCCUUUCUGUAUAAACCAGUUUGUUAGGCUCUCUGGGUUAGGGACUCUGCAUUUUCUUCCUCUCCUACCGAGAUGGUGUUCCACUGGUCCAGCCUGGCGGGAGCAGCAGGCAGGGCACAGCUUUACUGGCUGUUUGCCGCUUUGCUUUAGUGCAAUGUGUGGUACAUUACUUAUCAGAAAACACGUAUGUCAUCUCUAGAAAGAAGAAAAACAUAGUAGUUCAAUGCCCAGUGUCCCUUUGAUUUUUUUUUUAAUAGUAAAAAUAAGAAUCCGUACUGACUUUUCACUUGGCCAUCCUGGUUUUAAAGGACAAGCUACAAGCUCCGUGUUUUUCUGUACUAAAGUGUCACUUAUUAAAUACUUUUGUACCAUGAAAAAA